ensembl:lncRNA
AGUUGGUGGACACAUGGAUCUGGGCCAGUUGCUGUGUGGUUUCAGUAUAGCAGCAAUAAUUCAUAGGAAAUUUUGUACACAUAUUGAGAAACUGAAACAGUAAUUGACAGAUGUUUAGAUUUAAUAAAAAUUCUCUACUUCCUAUAUCCAAAUAUUAUUGCAAAAGUUUGCAAAUGUAAAGGAAAUUACUCUACAAAUGAAAGUUCACAGACAGCGUGAGCCUCUCUGUGAUGACACAAAAAUGACUAUAAAGAGAAUGAACAUAAGGAAACAAUAGCACAUUUCACUGUAAAUGUCAAGCAGUGUUAUUCUGAAAAAAUGUCAUAGUGAUAAUUAAGAUGAAAAAGGCUCCAACUAGAAAGUGCAGUGUGGUCACUUUCAAUUUAUCAAUCAAGGGAAGUCAUUUUUAUCACUCAUUACUACAAGAGACUCUGAACAUCUUUAGAGCAGCAUCUCUUUUAAAGAAAACCUACAUAGCUAUAAAAUAGCAAAAUAUUAAAAUUUGAUUUGUAGGAGCUGGAGCAAAAUGAAAUUUCUUUUAUAUUAACUUUAAAAAUAUGCUUGUACUUGGGAUCUCAUGCUAGAGGGCUGCUGGGUCACUGACAUGAGCUCCCUGUUACUGAAGGCAGACAUACUGUAUAAGUACAUUUAUUAAUCUUUAUCUUAGAAGGUGGUUAGAUUUUUGUCCUUCACUGCUCUCAAUGAAAAGUGGUUCUGGUGCUUGACUGUUCUGAUAGUUAGAAGCUGCUAAUUAGCAACAUAAAUUUAUUCAAGCUCACAUUAUGCUUUUUUCUUAUUUUGACAACUUUAUCCCUUAGCUGUGAUAGAUCUCCUCUUGCCUGACAUUUCAGGGUCUAAAUAAACAAUAUUGAUAUUCUGUCUCCUGUUCCUCUUAUCUAAGUAACCUGAGGCCUUUUAUUUUUGCUUUAUCUGAAUGGUUUUACAUUUCACUUUCAUUUUAGCUGUCUUUCCAUGUAUAUGCAGGUAGAUUUUAUCUGUGGAAUAUCCCAACAAGAUUUCAGCUUCUGCUGUGUUUCUCUCCAGGAAAUACCUCACAUGUUAAAAUCUUAAAUCUUAUUUACCCUUCUCUGAUUGCAUUCACACACAGGAGAAGCACACGGACAUCUCAAGGCAAUUAAAACACUCAGGUUUUAAUGAACAGUCUUCAGCUCAUCAAUUGAAAAUAUGUCAGUAUGCAGGACAAUUCUGCUUUUCUCAAUUUACAAUGUUAGCCAGAAUUUUCUGUAUCACAUUGUCUCCUCUGUACUCUUUGUGCUUUCCCUCAAAUCUAGCAACCUUCUAGGUUAGCCCAUAUAAACUUUUGCACUUGUGCCACUAAUAUUAGGAAGGAGGUAAUAAGAACACAACCAAAGGUCCCUUGAAUAGGACUUCUUAAAGUCAGGCACAACUUCAUUAAAAAUAUGAAUACAUGCAGAAGCUCUUUUUUUUUUUUUUUUAAUCUGGUAUAUCACUCUGUGCCCAAAAGAAUUAUUGUGUCUCUAAAGUAAUAAAAUUCCCAAACAUGAUUUUAAAAUAAAUGAGUUCCUACUAAGGAAUUAGUACAUGUAAAAGGUAGAAGGAACCAGAGGAGAGGUGCAUAAUAAGACCAAAAAAACAAGUAAGCAUAUAUAUUUUUAACAUUAGAUAGGCUGAACAAACUGCAUAAAAUUGAUAAAUAAUAGUAGAAAAGCAGAAAUUUACCUAUUCAUAGUCAAACCUAUGAAUUUCAUUGGACAUUAUGCUGGAAUUCUGUACAGCAAAUAUGAGACUAGAAUUUGAACCUUGCAGACGUAAUUCUCUAUUUCAACGUGAGAAGUAUACCAGAGUAUACAGGUAAUUUGAGAUUUCUAAGUAGAACUGAUCCCAAGAACAGCUUUAUCAGCAGUGCUUGCUGCAGAAAUAAAUGUAACAGUAUAGGAUUUUCAGUCUGGGAGCAGUUUGAACAUUAUAGGACUUAGAUACAGCAUCAGUUUGCCUAUAGUCCAGUUUAUAACACAACUUUAUGCACCAGAACCCUUCUGCAGUGCAGAGCUACCUCUUGUAGCAUGUUGCAGUACAAUUUACCAAAAAGCCCUACAAAGUUAAUAGCAUUCAAUAUAAGAUACUAAGGAUAGCAGCUGCUCUUGAGGUGAAAAGAACUUUUCAAGGCUAAGCAGAAUACUUCUAUCUACAGUCUAAAACUAAAUUGAAAGCAAGCGUUUACAACUCUCUUUUUUCUAAGCACGCAAGAAAAUUAUUUUUUUUUUCCUUUGAAUGAGAAUAGAACUAUGGAUUUUGCUUUCAGUUUUCUGAACAAAUAUUGGAUAGUCUGUUAAAAAGAGUGAGUUUGGCUAUAGUAGUAAAGGCUUUCUUGCAGCAACAAUGCGGGACACUUGUUAUCAACAGCAACUGUGAAGAUCAGGAGAUAACAAACAAAGAAGUCUCAGACAUAAGAAGGAAAAAAAAAAUUCCAAAACCAAAAUGAUUUCAAGAAUCUAGAAGGCAUCAUUCAAGGAUUCAAGAGAAAAUACAGACAAGUUUGAGCUCCUAAAGGAAAAAAAAAAAAAAAAGUUUUCUCUGGGUAAUUGUUAUAUUUAUAUACCUACUAUAUAUAUAUAUAUAUUAUAUAUAUAUAAAAGAAUAUUAUAAGGCUCAACUUAACUCCACAUUUCUUAAGGACUCAUGCCAUUGCACAUUGUGAGAAACUGAACUUUGUUCUAAAUGUCCCCUGAGAUGCCCAUCACUUCAAGUCCCUCAAAGAGUAAUUCAGAAGCCCAGUGAAGCUGGCCUCAUCUCUCGUGUGACUAGUAAUAGGACUAGAGGGAAUGGCUUCAAGCUGCACCAGGGAAGGUGCAGGCUGGACAUUAGGAAAUACUACUUCUCUGAAAGAGUGGUCAGGCACUGGAAUGGGCUGCCCCGGGAGGUGGUGGAGUCACCAAACCUGGAGGUGCUCAAGGAACAUUUGGACAUUAUGUUGAGAGACAUGGUUUAGUGAGAAAUGGUGGUGGUGGGUGGAUGGUUGUACUGAGUGAUCCUGAGGGUCUUUUCCAACCUUGCUGAUUUUCUGAUUCUAUGAUUCUGUGAUUGUUAAAUAAACACUGGAUUUU